rnacentral:lncRNA from 1 species
UCUUUGUGACGGUACUCCAAAACGGCUAUAUAGCAAGUUUUCUCCUCAAUUAGUAUUGUCCUCAGUUUGGAGUAUAUGGCAAACUAAUUGGGAAAAAUUUGCUAUAGCUGCAUUCUAAAUGGCAGGAGAUAAGCAUCCAUCUCGACAAUACUGACUAAAGAGCAUAAACCAAUACCACCUCGGCCAGAUUUGGUUCGUACAAAGGACAGUGGCUGCACUGGGUGUACUCUACCUCGACCAGAUUUUCUUUGUUCAGAGCUUGGAUUCAGAGAUACAUAUGUAGGUGUUUUUUAGGAUUCAAAGAUGCAUAUGUAGGUGUUUUUCAAAGCAAAUGAUGCUAUGAUGUGGUUACAUGUAUGCAGUAAAGAAAAGUUGUGUUAAUUCAUCUGCAUGUUGCAUAGGUAUAUGAGGUUCUGGAGGUUGGAGCUUUUAUGUAAAUUUCGUUGUUGCAUACUUGUACCAGAUGUAUAAAUGAGAUUCCACUUAAUCCCAUUUAUCC